rnacentral:rRNA from 1 species
CUUAGUAACGGCGAGUGAAGCGGCAAAAGCUCAAAUUUGAAAUCUGGUACCUUCGGUGCCCGAGUUGUAAUUUGGAGAGGGCAACUUUGGGGCCGUUCCUUGUCUAUGUUCCUUGGAACAGGACGUCAUAGAGGGUGAGAAUCCCGUGUGGCGAGGAGUGCGGUUCUUUGUAAAGUGCCUUCGAAGAGUCGAGUUGUUUGGGAAUGCAGCUCUAAGUGGGUGGUAAAUUCCAUCUAAAGCUAAAUAUUGGCGAGAGACCGAUAGCGAACAAGUACAGUGAUGGAAAGAUGAAAAGAACUUUGAAAAGAGAGUGAAAAAGUACGUGAAAUUGUUGAAAGGGAAGGGCAUUUGAUCAGACAUGGUGUUUUGUGCCCUCUGCUCCUUGUGGGUAGGGGAAUCUCGCAUUUCACUGGGCCAGCAUCAGUUUUGGUGGCAGGAUAAAUCCAUAGGAAUGUAGCUUGCCUCGGUAAGUAUUAUAGCCUGUGGGAAUACUGCCAGCUGGGACUGAGGACUGCGACGUAAGUCAAGGAUGCUGGCAUAAUGGUUAUAUGCCGCCCGUCUUGAAACACGGACCAAGGAGUCUAACGUCUAUGCGAGUGUUUGGGUGUAAAACCCAUACGCGUAAUGAAAGUGAACGUAGGUUGGGGCCUCGCAAGAGGUGCACAAUCGACCGAUCCUGAUGUCUUCGGAUGGAUUUGAGUAAGAGCAUAGCUGUUGGGACCCGAAAGAUGGUGAACUAUGCCUGAAU